rnacentral:rRNA from 1 species
UACGUAGGUGGCAAGCGUUGUCCGGAUUUACUGGGCGUAAAGGGCGUGCAGGCGGUUUGUUAAGUGCAGGGUGAAAGCUCCCGGCUCAACUGGGAGAGGUCCUUGCAUACUGGCAAACUCGAGGGAGGCAGAGGAAAGUGGAAUUCCCGGUGUAGUGGUGAUAUGCGUAGAUAUCGGGAGGAACACCAGUGGCGAAGGCGACUUCCUGGCCUGUUCUUGACGCUGAGGCGCGAAAGCUAGGGUAGCAAACGGG